rnacentral:rRNA from 1 species
CCUAGGGAGUCUGCAGUGGGGAAUAUUGGACAAUGGGCGAAAGCCUGAUCCAGCCAUGCCGCGUGUGUGAAGAAGGCCUUCGGGUUGUAAAGCACUUUCAGUGGGGAAGAAAGCCUUGGGGCUAAUACCCUCGAGGAAGGACAUCACCCACAGAAGAAGCACCGGCUAACUCCGUGCCAGCAGCCGCGGUAAUACGGAGGGUGCGAGCGUUAAUCGGAAUUACUGGGCGUAAAGCGCGCGUAGGCGGUCUGAUAAGCCGGUUGUGAAAGCCCCGGGCUCAACCUGGGAACGGCAUCCGGAACUGUCAGGCUAGAGUGCAGGAGAGGAAGGUAGAAUUCCCGGUGUAGCGGUGAAAUGCGUAGAGAUCGGGAGGAAUACCAGUGGCGAAGGCGGCCUUCUGGACUGACACUGACGCUGAGGUGCGAAAGCGUGGGUAGCAAACAGGAUUAGAUACCCCGGUAGUC